rnacentral:rRNA from 1 species
GACGAACGCUGGCGGCGUGCUUAACACAUGCAAGUCGAACGAAGUGGCGAACGGGUGAGUAACGCGUAAUCAACCUGCACUUCAGAGGGGGACAACAGGUGGAAACGACUGCUAAUACCGCAUACUGAAGGAGGGGAUUGUGUCUGCUUAGCUAGUUGGAGGGGUAACGGCCCACCAAGGCGAUGAUCAGUAGCCGGGCGGAGAGGAUGAACGGCCAACUCUGGACUGAGAAACGGCCCAGACCCCUACGGGAGGCAGCCGUGGGGAAUCUUCCGCAAUGGACGAAAGUCUGAAGGAGCAACGCCGGGUGAGUGAUGACGGCCUUCGGGUUGUAAAGCUCUGUUAAUCGGGACGCGGUACCGGAAUAGAAAGCCACGGCUAACUACGUGCCAGCCGCCGCGGUAAUAC